GACGAACGCUGGCGGCGUGCUUAACACAUGCAAGUCGAACGGAAAGGCCCUGCUUUUGUGGGGUGCUCGAGUGGCGAACGGGUGGGUAACACGUGAGUAACCUGCCCUUGACUUUGGGAUAACUUCAGGAAACUGGGGCUAAUACCGGAUAGGAGCUCCUGCUGCAUGGUGGGGGUUGGAAAGUUUCGGCGGUUGGGGAUGGACUCGCGGCUUAUCAGCUUGUUGGUGGGGUAGUGGCUUACCAAGGCUUUGACGGGUAGCCGGCCUGAGAGGGUGACCGGCCACAUUGGGACUGAGAUACGGCCCAGACUCCUACGGGAGGCAGCAGUGGGGAAUAUUGCACAAUGGGCGGAAGCCUGAUGCAGCAACGCCGCGUGCGGGAUGACGGCCUUCGGGGUGUAAACCGCUUUCGCCUGUGACGAAGCGUGAGUGACGGUAAUGGGUAAAGAAGCACCGGCUAACUACGUG
rnacentral:rRNA from 1 species